rnacentral:rRNA from 1 species
AUUGAACGCUGGCGGCAGGCCUAACACAUGCAAGUCGAGCGAGUGGCGGACGGGUGAGUAAUGUAUGGGGACUGCCCGAUAGAGGGGGAUAACUACUGGAAACGGUGGCUAAUGCCGCAUACUAUCGGAUAACCCAUAUGGGAUUAGCUAGUAGGUGGGGUAAAGGCUCACAUAGGGGACGAGCUCUAGCUGGUCUGAGAGGAUGAUCAGCCACACUGGUACUGAGACACGGCCCAGACGCCUACGGAGGCAGCAGUGGGGAAUAUUGCACAAUGGGCGCAAGCCUGAUGCAGCCAUGCCGCGUGUAUGAAGAAGGCCUUAGGGGUGUAAAGUACUUUCAGCGGGGAGGCGUUACCCGCAGAAGAAGCACCGGCUAACUCCGUGCCAGCAGCCGCGGUAAUUC